rnacentral:rRNA from 1 species
AGAGUUUGAUCCUGGCUCAGGACGAACGCUGGCGGCGUGCCUAAGACAUGCAAGUCGAACGGGGUCUUUCGGGGUGCUUGCACCCUGACUGACCUAGUGGCGGACGGGUGAGUAACACGUGGAUAACCUGCCCCCGAGCCGGGGAUAACAGCCCGAAAGGGCUGCUAAUACCGGAUAAGCUCACAGCACCGCAUGGUGCAGGGAGAAAAGGACGCAAGUCCGCUUGGGGAUGGGUCCGCGGCCCAUUAGCUAGUUGGUGAGGUAACGGCUCACCAAGGCGACGAUGGGUAGCCGGCCUGAGAGGGCGAUCGGCCACACUGGAACUGAGACACGGUCCAGACUCCUACGGGAGGCAGCAGUCGGGAAUUUUGGGCAAUGGGGGAAACCCUGACCCAGCAACGCCGCGUGAGCGAGGAAGGCCUUCGGGUUGUAAAGCUCUGUCAGUUGGGACGAACCGGUCUGUGAUGAGCAGGCUUUGACGGUACCAACGGAGGAAGCCCCGGCUAACUACGUGCCAGCAGCCGCGGUAAUACGUAGGGGGCGAGCGUUGUCCGGAGUUACUGGGCGUAAAGGGCGCGCAGGCGGCCAUUCAAGUCAUGGGUGAAAUACCGGGGCUUAACUCCGGGGGUGCCUGUGAAACUGGGUGGCUUGAGGGCCGGAGAGGACAGCGGAAUUCCCGGUGUAGCGGUGAUAUGCGUAGAGAUCGGGAGGAACACCAGUGGCGAAGGCGGCUGUCUGGACGGUACCUGACGCUCAGGCGCGAAAGCCCGGGGAGCAAACGGGAUUAGAUACCCCGGUAGUCCGGGCCGUAAACGAUGAGUGCUAGGUGUGGCGGGUAUCGACCCCCGCCGUGCCGGAGUUAACGCAAUAAGCACUCCGCCUGGGGAGCACGGCUGCAAGGCUGAAACUCAAAGGAAUUGACGG